rnacentral:rRNA from 1 species
UACGUAGGGAGCGAGCGUUGUCCGGAAUUACUGGGUGUAAAGGGAGCGUAGGCGGGAAUGCAAGUCAAGUGUUAAAUCUACCGGCUCAACUGGUAGCUGCGCUUGAAACUGCAAUUCUUGAGUGAAGUAGAGGCAGGCGGAAUUCCUAGUGUAGCGGUGAAAUGCGUAGAUAUUAGGAGGAACACCAGUGGCGAAGGCGGCCUGCUGGGCUUUAACUGACGCUGAGGCUCGAAAGCAUGGGUAGCAAACAG